CCCGAGCGAUGGGGGAGCGGCGGGCGCUCUCAGCGCGUGGAAAUGGACGGCGGAGCCCAACGUCGCGGGUAGAAAUGGCCGCCCCCCUCCGCCGGGAGAUGGCCGGGAGGGGGGGGGACCGUGCUCCGCAACGACUGCAAGCGUGGUCCCGCUAUUAACCGUGAUGAAUUGCCCUCAAAGAGCGAGUUGUGAAAGAGAGAAGUCCAGGCAGGUGUCCGCGAUAAGGAGACAUUAAAAUGCUUCGUCUGUAAACUCGCUUGUCCCACGGAUGGGAACCAGUGGGUUUUCAGGCUGUGCCCACCGAGAAUGGGCUGAGCGCAUUCGUUCGCCUGGCUGUAAGUGCACAGGGGUGGCUCGGAGCUGUACAGACUCACACAACUGGAUGAUCUCGCAGGGGCUGUCGUGGCCGAAUGCCACAGACUCGACUGUCCCGUGCUGCAGAGAAGCGUGCGUUGGGAUCCGGCAGUCCUGUGGAAAUUCAGGUUCACUGAGCUCAAAAGAAACGCGGAGCCACAAAUGUAUGAGCCGGGUUACACCCACGGCUGCCGGCGGGGCUGGGGAUGCAGUGCUGUAUUCCACACAUACCCAUCAGAACGAGGGCCCGGGCUGCUGAGGGAAGAGCUCAGAAGCUGUUGAAUCCCAUUUAUUAUCAAUUUUAUGCUGAUUUUUCUCUCGCUAUUUUGCUGCCUUGUUUGGUUAUUGAUGAAUUCCAGAACGGUUUCUUCUUGUUUUGCCUCUGUGUUUUACGCUUUGGGAUGGGUGAGGGUAAAAUGAGCAUCAGUGGCUCUAUAAAGAGUUCCUUAAGCCUCGUGCUCCCUUUGAAAUCCCAAAUGGAAGGUUGUCCUGCCACGGGGCUGUGGAAUUACCCCACAGAUGGGGAGGAUGGGGAAAAAGCAGCAGUAAGGUCAUCGUGUACGUGGCAUUGCAAGAGAGUAAAGAGAGACCUUACAGAAAUAUACAGCAGGGCUCUGUGGGAACGUGAAGGUUCAGACUGCAGCCUGGCCCUGUGCUUUACUGCAUUGGCUUCCCCCACUUCAGCGUGUGUGCACACAGAGUCCUGUGUCUGUUGUUUCCUCCCAGUGCUUUAGGAUGCCAGUGACUCUUGUUUGUGAAACAAAAGGGCAGCUCAAGAGGGAAAAAAAAAACCUGACACUGUGUUAAUUUUCGCAGGUUUGUGUUUACAGUGUAUAGUAAUAAUACCUUGCAUUUGUGUAGCACUUGCCGUUUGGCAAUCAGAAUGAGCACUGUGCCCGUGCUGAAGUGAAUUUCACCAUUGCUCAGAGACGUGUGGAUGUGUUAUCCUCCUUUUACAGCUAUUUUAAAACACCACCAGGAGGGCUUAGAUUGCUGCUGUACAGCACAAACUACAACAGACGCGGUAUAAAGGGUGGGCAGACUACCUGCUGCAAUGGUUUAUAUGUUUUGCAGUGUAUUUGUGGUGGGACAGCAGAAGCUGUGAAUUUAAAAGGCCGAGCACAUUCACAUUCAUGAGUGAUAAAAGAGCUCUGGAGGUGGAAGUGAGGCACGAUUCCUUCCUCAUCUCCAUUCAUCUACAUGCUGAUGAUCUGCACGUCUUUCAUCUUCAGACACGCAGGACCCGAUCUGAGAAGAUCUGCCCCAAUGUGGAAAAUGUAUUGUAAUGUCUUUUUCUCUGAUGAGCGGCUUAUAAACGUUUGAGCUAAGAUUUCAGCAAUCAGAGCUAUACCUUCCGCCUUCGUUUCCUGUUUAACCUUGUUUCUCAGGUCUUCACUUCAAUCAUGCAAUUACCGCUUAUACAUUUUUAGGAGAGCUUCAUUAAAACUGUGCCCUUGCAUUGGUUUCAGCAGCACCGGCAUUCAGUUGUGCAGCACUUGCAGGUUAGAUUGCAGUAGCUGGUUUAUUCUCAUCCUUUAAAGACUGCCUUUUUUCCCACUGUCCCUGUGGAAAAGCGAGCAAUUUAAUACAAUGAUUCCUUCCAAAACGUUUUAGGUCACAUCGUUGGUUGGUGCAUAUUGGCAUUAUGAGAUGAAAAUCGAUGGAGCUGUGGCACUCUAUGCAGUUCGGGAUUCCAGGGCUUUAAUUCCCUCCGUUUCAAGAGAUGCGAUACUGAAAUCAGUCCAAGUAAUAGUUGAAAUGAUUGGAGUGGAAGCUUGCACAGAUGAUGAGCCAGGUGCUAAGAAAUGCCAGCUCAGAAAACACUCAGGGCACUGUUAGACCUGGGGAAGGUGUUAGGAGGAGCAGCCGCCCAUUACCAACUUCUUACCCUUUUUCCCAAACAAUGUGGUGUUGCUGUUAGGUGCUGUGCUUGACUGGACCUCACUUUGGGAGACGGUAAUAACAGGUUUUGUAUUCUGGUUCAAAGCAGCCCCCGCGUUUGCUGUAAGCCUACGGAUGCUAACUGCUUUGAUCACUGGGGUUUCUAAUAGCAAAACGUUCUUGUUAUUCAGCUUCGUUUGUGUAGGAGUCUCACUGCAUAAGGGCUGAGGCAGCAAGGAAAUCAGAUACUUCUGUAUGUCUGUGCACGGGAUUUAAAAACAUGGGGAAAAGUAUUUCAAAGUGUCCUAAAUCCCAAAGUGUAAGGCAUGUAUUGUUACAGAUGAUAGUAGGUUUCCUGCGGUGAAUGCAACUGCUGUGGCUGAUAGAAAGAAAAUUGGUGGCAUGAAAACUGCUGUAGCCAUUGGACGUUCUCUCCAAAUGGGCUUUAAGUGCAUGUUCUUGUUUAUUGCUCUCCUGCUGGGAUGAGGUCCUGCAACCAUCUCUGUUACCAAUUCGUCUGCCCUGUAAGGACCUCAUUUUUCAGUCUGGG
ensembl:lncRNA